GUUAAACAGGGGUUGCGUGCUUGGGGCAUUCACGGCGGGUUCUGCCUUGCCGAGAGAAUGGGAAACCCAAGGCUUCGGUUAGCUGAGACAGCGGUGACACAGGUCAGGGAGACCUAGUCUGACCCCUAGGUCUCUACGCCCCACGUAGACACGACCUAAAUCCCGCAGCCGUCCGGUCUGUCGCAAUUCUCCCCGGGAUCCGCCCCUGGGCGGAGCUGACAGCCGGCUGCUAGAGUCCCGACAGAGGGACCGGAGAGCUGAUCCCGUUCCGGAUUUUGUCUCUGUUCCUCCCCCCGCAGUGCGUUCGCAUCCUAUUAGGCUACAUCACCAGGCCGCCCGCCAAUGGGCGGGCAGGACAACACGGCAUGGAGCAGCUCCACAUGGACACCCCGCGCCGCCAGCCUUCGGUUUAAAGGGCCAGCGUCUACAAGGUUUAGUCUGUGAAUGGGUCGCCUUGGAGGAACCUCUGACUGAACCUGACCUGCGACAGAGGUGAAGUGUAGAGCUCCAUCCAGGACCCAUCCUUGGUGUAAUAAACAAACACAGCACAGAAGCAAGAAAGGAGGAGCCUCUGACCAGUUUUCUCUAAGCGCCUGGCCGUCUUGUCAGGAGUUGGAGCUGUGCUGUGCCAGGGGCACAAGAAGCUGACCCUCUGGAAAGGCAUAGUAGAGCACGAGGACUUCAGACAUUCCUUUGAAGGAAAAAGGAUGUGGCUUCCUGAGUCCAUUAAUUCAGGUCAAGGGAGUGGGACACCAGGUAGGGUUGUAGGUACAGAGGGUGGAGUCUGCACUGUGUGACUCAGGAGCCAGCUGGAUCCCUCCAGGUAGAGACGUGCUGGAGACGUGCUGACAGGAAAGGUACAGCCAUGGGGCUCACACCUAACAGGCAAUAGAGUAGCCUCCCCUGGACAGGGCCGGGGCUUCAUGGCCACAAGCUAGCCUGAGUUUCCACUUCCAGGCUGGGGAUGGCUAGGAGAGGGAGUGAAAGAAUACAGUGUCCAUGUCUAGUCCCUGCCUGCCCUGUGCCCAUCCCCACUGGUAGUUUUAGUGGUACUUUAUUGGCCAUUUCUGAAGACACUCUGUGAUAACUGCACCAUUAAACUGAUCCUUAAAAUGAA